rnacentral:rRNA from 1 species
AUCUCGUGCCAGCAGUCGCGGCAAUACGAGGAAGACUAGUGUUAUUCAUCAUUAAUAGGUUUAAAGGGUACCUAGACGGUAUAUCUAGCCCCCCAAAGGGUACGGAUUGUACUAGAGUUUUAUGUGAGAGGUAUAUAUUAGUACUAUUGGUGUAGAGAUGAAAUUCUUUGAUACUAUUAGGACUGGUGGAGGCGAAAGCAACCCUCUAUGUAUAAACUGACGUUGAGGGACGAAGGCUUGGGUAGCGAAUAGGAUUAGAUACCCUAGUAGUCCAGGCAGAGAAUUAUGAAUGUCAUAGAAUAGAUUGUGCAGAGCACUAUAAUUAUAACUAGUAGUUAUAUGUCUUUUAUAUUUUGGUCUAUAAAUGAAAGUGUAAGCAUUCCACCUCAAGAGUAAUGUGGCAUACGCAGGAACUGAAAUCAUUAGACCGUUUCUGAAACCAGUAGUGAAGUAUGUUAUUUAAUUCGAUGACCCUCGAAAAACCUUACCACAAUUUGGAUAUUAAUUUUAUUUAUUUAAUACAAGCGCAGCACGGCUGUCUUCAGUUAAUGUCGUGAGAUUUCGGUUAGAUCCAUUAAAUUAACGUAAACCCUUGCUUUAUUUAUAUUUAAUAAAGUAGUUCACCACUAUAUUGGAUUUGAUAAAAGGGACUAAGACAAGUCAUCAUGGCCUUAAU